UCAGGUACCAGAGCUCAGAGGAGCUUGAGCUCUUUAAGGGAAACUCCUCCCUUAUUCCCAUCCACCACCACAGCAUCAUGUCUUGCUGCAGCUACUGGCAUAUCCUGUCCAACCCAUCCCCCAAUAUGACUGCAUUACAAACAAGGCUAGAAAGACAACAACAAAAUUUAAGGACUGCACUGAAGAUGCGCAGGGAAAAAAAACACCCAUCACCAAACAAACAAAGAAAGGACACACACUUUCAGCUGUAGGAAGAGCAGCGUGCAGACCACGAAGGGCAUUCCUGGAAGGACCUCCAGGCAGAGAUGGCCGUGUUUCAGCACGUGCAAUUGCAGAACUCGUGGCUGAACCGACUCCGCUGCACAGAAGUGAAGGGAUUCCCUCCACCAGUGUGUCUCCAGCACACGAGUCCCUGCUGUCACAUCAAGGUGGCCCAGGUGAGCCAAACAGAAAGGUGGGUGUAUAACACAGGGAACCACUGUCAUUUUCUGAGGCCAAACCAUCAGGGUCCUUUGGUCUGGUACUUGCACUGUGGUCUGGCAAAGAGCAGCGUUAGCAUAGUGAGCAAGCCCUUGUGGGGUCACUAAGAGAGAAGCUUCUGCAAAACUUUCCUGAAUAGAUUGAGAGUUUUGGGGGUUUUUUUUCCAUACAAUAGUUAUAAAUAGCACUUACCCCUUUCUGAAGGCUUCUGUUCUUCCAAGCCAAAUAAAAAUUCAUAUUUGGCCUUGGCAACAUUCUGGGCGUGAGCUGAUACAUCAUUAUCCCACACAAGUGCUUCUGCCUGUAGAGUCAAAAUAAAUAAAGCUUAUCUACCUUUUGGUGAAAAAACAGCAGCAGGAACGUGAAAUCCUUCCAGGUGCGCUCUCAGGAAGGAUUUUCAAAGUAUUCAUUUAACUCUGUCACCACCAAGAUCAUCCAGAGCAGACAUGCGCCAACUCAGAAUGCUUUUGAAGAGCUUGCCUGUCUUUGAACCCAAGCAUUUCAGCAUUAAGCAGUGAUGUCAGAGCACCCAACCACUUAUAUCUUUAGCAGGCUUACCCACUGCAAGGGCAGCAGCACUAGCCAACUGUGUCAGUAAUACCAGUUAGGGUUAAAAAUGUCAAGGGAGUAGUAUCAGAAAUAGCAAAUUUGAAUAUGUAUGUCACAAAACUGGGACCCAUGAGAAAACCAUAAAUGGGGCAGGCUGUUUCUUUGAAGAGAGGCUGGGGCAGAGAAAGGGAGGAAGGAAAAAGGGCUACAGCAAGGAUGAUCAAAAAUGGGAAAAAGGGAUAAGGUAUGCAAACGUGUGGGGAGUACCGUCUAAGGGUCCCUGUUGGACAGCCCACGCCUGACUGCCGCGGUCUAGCUCAGGACAAUAGCCCAACCUGGUUUUAUAACCACACAAGUCAAACCUGCUUAUCUGGCCAGGAGGCAGGGAGGAGGCACAGAGUGGUGAAGCCAGCUAGUCCUGGGCGGGGAUGGAUGGACAGAUGAAUUGAGCAACCCCUGCCCACCCAGGUCUGGUGCCACCAGCACCUUCACCCUGCUCCCUCCUUGUUAAGAAGCAGUUUGAGAGAGUAAAGGUCCAGUUUCUCAGAGGAGAUAAAGGCUGCAGGACUAAGAUCAAAAUACCUUUCUGAACAGGUGGGGACAAAUCAAAUCCCCAAGAUAAAGCACACACCAGCAAUAAGCUGUAGUGCAAAAACUAUCUGCAGUCGGCAUUAAGUGUCUCCCCAGCUGGGCAAGACGGAGCCCGUAAUUCUUCCGUCUGAAGUGACAGAUGAAAUAAAUCAUUAACUCCGCAAAUUCUUCAGUAAACUUUAUAUUCACGCUCUAUGUUUGAGGCGCUCAACUGUUGCAGCAUAGCAAGUCGUUGCAUCGUUCAUACUGAAGACCUGAGCUUACAAAAAUAUUCUUAAAAAAAGAAGUCAGAUGGAACAUUCUGCCCCCCCAGGACAACAAUAACUUUUAUGCAUUUCUAUCAAAUACCUUAGGAGAAGCGUCAUCUACAAACAUAAAUUCAAAGUACAGGGGACACGUAAUUCACAGGUCAAGGCCCUUUAAUCAGCAAUGGAUGAAAUCCAUACAUUCUUCCACCUCUCCAACAAUUACAUUUUCUUCCACGAGCAUAUUGGCAAAUAGCUAUCUUGCCCCAUGCCCUUGAACGGUUUUGCUCCAGGUUUUCCUGGCCUUUUACUCCAUUUCUACUCCUGCCUUUCUGCACUGCACUAGUUCUGCAGGAUGUAGUCCAACACCACUCUGUCUGAAAUAGGCAGCAGAUCUUACACAGGGGUCUUGGACAGAUUUAUUUGGACCGUUCACUGGUCCAACUACUCAUCACUAGAGCUCUGAGUACUUUGAUGGACGUGCUAACACUAGGCUACCAAAUCCUUUGGAAAAAAUGUGGUGAAACAGAUGAAGGGUUUUCUAGCACAAAGAUGACUUCCAUGAGCAAGACAAAAUGAGCUUGGAAAAAGCCUCCAUGUCUCUCCUGCUUUUACAGGGCUGCAUUCAUUCACAGGAAGGGAGGCGUGAAGGGCUAGAAGAGGAAUAGCUGGACCCAGAGCUCACACAGGAGAAGGCUCUUGUCUGCAACAGCUUGGACAGGAGUAGCUUACAGAGCCAGACAAAAAUUCAACCUACCCAGAUAUGGAUGUGAAGGGAUGGGACGGCUAAAAACUGGCUGGUGCCAAAUCCCAGUCACGGAUGAAUGAAAUGGAAAAUAAAAUGAACAGAAGAGUCCAGUUCCUGAGCAGUCAGGAAUUUCUGAUCUAUGCACCUCUGGGACACAGUAUUUCCAUACCUCAGCCUUGCUUUUUGAGACUUCACAGACAUCUGCUGCAGUGAACAUCCCUGCCAGCAAACACAUGUUCCAAGGGUCUGUAUUUGCCUGCACCUCAUUGUAAAGCAAUGGAGAAGAGUCUGGUUCACAGCACCCUCUGCAUUGCCCAACAACAGGCAGAAAUAAGUUGUUAGAUUAAUGGGGUUUCCAUGUACUGGGUAGCAUUUAUCAGAACUAGGUGCAUAAAGAGAGGCUGCAAGACCCUUAUCUUGGCAUCUGAAAGGGAUAACUUGAUUUUCAGAAGUGCUCAGCACCACUGAUGAGAAUUACAGACACUGGCUUGUGUAUGGGAACAGCUGAACUUAACAUCUAUUUAGGCUGUCAGAGCACUAAAAGGAACUGUGUAAAGAAACUCCAGAUCCAGGCUUAAGGAAAAAGUUUAUCAUAUUUCAUCCAAAAAAGAAAUAUUAAAAAAAGAACACAAGAGAGGGAGAGAACAAAGACACUGAGUUCAGAGCUCGAUUUUAAGACUGCUGAUUUACCAGUGUUCAAAUCAAGAGUGUGCUCUCCUUUCCUUCUUUCAAUCCACCACUCACCCAAGCCUUGCAGAGGUCAGCAUGCCCUGAAACCAGGAUCCCAGAAAAGGCCUGGACAAACAUUCAUGGUGCUUUCCAAACUGCAUUAGCAAAGAUUAAAUACAAGCAAGAUUGAAAGGGAUAUAAAACUCCUGCUUAAGCCUUCUCUCUCAGCUCAAGGGCAAAGAAAUCUGCAUCCAGGUCAUCUCAUUUCAUAAUUGCUUCCCUCAGAGGGCUUUAACCACCACCUUUGACGCAUCUGGUCUUUGUCACUCCUGGAGAGGGUGACACUCAGAGCAUCAAUCCCCUUAAAUCAGCCCAGCUGUACAUACAACAUAUCUCAUGAGCCACAUACCCACUAUUUUUCAGUCUGAUUAUGGUCUGGGCAGAGAGGCAUCAAGCUCCUGCCCAUUUAUGCAUCACUCUUGCAGUGCUUUCUGCCUGUUUGAACAUGUUUCAUAAGCCUACUUCCCUCCGUCACAGUUCCUGGUCGGGAGUUGGGGCAGCUGCAUUUGCCUCUCAGUGACUUUUAGAUAACAUUUAUGAGGCUGCAUUAGUUUGUCCUUGGCAGCCCUCACCCCUCAGACCUCCUGCCAACACACCAGACCAGUUUCUGCUGACCCUGCAGAAGGCACUGGCAUGGUCAUUACAGGUGUCCCACCUUGCUGGCUUUCUGUUCCUUGCUGAGGGAGCAGAGAUUGUUCAGGAUAUGGCACUCAUGGUGGUUUCAGGCUAGUACAAGAAGUGAAGUUGCUGAAUCCAUGUCCAGCAGGAGCUGCCAAGGACGAUAUGUCAGCCCAGCUGCCUCUGCUCCGCUCUGCUGUCUGGAGGUGUGAACUGGGGCUGCGGGGCAACAUCUGCAAGGAGAAACUGUUCCCACAGUUCACCCCUGAGAGGUGCCUUUAGGCAGGCCCCCGACAAGAGCUGCUGCCUCUCUUGAAGCACAGUUUCUCUCUCAUUUCAGCUUCAGUCAUGAGCUCCCCUCAAAAUGCCCUCCCAAAAAUCUCAGUGGUUUUUAGAUAAGCACAGUGAGUCAUAAAAGCCUGAAGAAAAUGCUUCUCCUUUCUCCAUGGAAGAAAAGCACUGAAGCAUCCUCUUUUGAAUUUCACUGAGAUUCUGGUUGGGGCCUUUUUUGGUACAAACUGUUUUCUUCUUGGAGCCUUUUUUUUUUUUUCCAUACCUACAUGUCAGAGAGCAUUAAAUGAAGAGUAUCAAAGUCUUGUUCUCUCACCACCAUUUGCAGCUGAGCUUGACAGGAGAGCUAGGCUCCAUCUCAGUGGAAGGGGAUGACAUUGUCCAUGGCUGCUGUGACAAGGAACAGGUCAGUCUGAGCACAAGGAGCCAGUUUGAACCCGUGCCUCCUGAAGUAUUCACACUUAAGGUCAUAUGUUUUCUUCAAAAAAGCCUAAUAAGGAGGAGUUUUUCAAAGGAGCAGAUAAUUAAAUUGCAAAUGUCAGUUUGGAGUUUCUCAGACUCCCUCAGAGGACAGAUGCUGUCCAAAUAGACUGAAUUCUUGCAGGCGACCCAUGCUUGAGGAACAGCAGAAUGGGAUGGGUGCUCAAGCACGAGUCUUCAGGGAGCGAGAGCUAGCCAAUAUUCUGGACAGCAGAAUAUGCUAAAGGAAAACAUCAGUAGGAAGUGGCCUAACAACCUUUCACAGAGGGCUGUUAGCUGGGACAGAGAGGUCAAAGCGUCCUCAGGGAGACCCCUACAAGCUUGCUUAAUAAAACCCAGCCACCCCAUCCCCAGAAAGAAACAUUGCUGGAAUUCUUCUAGGCUUAUUGGAAAAUGUGGAGGGACUGGCCAGUUAGGGUGUGGGUCUCCACAGCUAAGCCAUACCAUGAAGAAGUCUCGGGGGAGCCCCAGUUUUACACAUUUUGCAUGUGCACAGCUGCUUUUUCCAGAGCUGAGUGCCUCCCCCCUUGGCCACACCACUGCUGGAUGUCAGCUCCCUGCCAGCAGGCAACAGCCCCUGCACUGGCAGCACAGUGCUUCCUGGAGGUUUCAUUGAGGCUAGCGGGGAGAUGCUGCAGUGGCUGCAACAGAGCUGUUGGCACUACUCAAGGAAGCAGAAAAAAAGCCUUGCAGGAUGCCUGAAAAGCACAGUCUACUACAGAGAACUUCACAGUCGCACCCGCAGCAUUUCUAAUCCCAGGCUGUGCUUGCUCCAUUCUCAUUGCUUCAUCAGCAUCUCUGGUGGCAAAAAAACCAAGUGCCUCUCAGCAGCCUGUCAUACACCUCAGUACAGUGAGUUUAUGCUCUCCAGAGGAGUGUAAACUUGUACCUUCAUCUUGUCUUUUGCACCCCAAAGUCUCCCCAGAGACUGACAGAAAUACAGUAACUGGUAAUGGAGCUAGCUUCAAAAAAAAAAAAAAAAAAGGGGCGGGGGCAGGAAUGAUGGAUAGAAGGGUUCUACAGAUUUAAAACCUUCUCCAGCAAGUUCCCAGCCGAACAAAAGUACUCUAUGAGUCAAGCUACAGUGCCAUGGUCAAGUUUUUAUGGAAUCAUGCAUAGAGAGCUCUGCCUCUCCUGUCACACACGGACAACCCCCCAACAGUGGCCAACCCUUUUGUUAAGCACCAUUAUCAUUCCUGUGUAUCAUUCAGUAGCAAGCCUCACUGCUUUUGACAGGUCAUAGUAAUUGCCCUGAAAAGACUAUUUCUGUUAAGCUUGUCUUAAAUCACUUUCCUAAGUAACAGGAUGAAAUUCAGAAAGCCGGCAUUAAAAUAAACUUGCUGGCUGGUGAAACCUAGUGCACACUGACAGCACAGGGACACUGUGGGUGCUUUUUCUGUGGGACUUCAAAAAAAAUAAGGACUGGUAGCAGAGGUUUGUAGUUUUUAAUUGCAUAUGACCUCAUGCACCACAUUUGUGUUUUCCUCACACCUCCCCACCACUACUAUACAUGCUUGCAAUUCUGGAAUUGAAGCAUUAGCAAAAUAGAUUAAGACUCGAAAGAACAGGAUUUUUGCAUGGCUAAACCUCAGCUGGACCUGCCAAAACUUAAUGCUAGCCAAAGUUUUGGAAGAGAUCUCAGCCUGGGUUUUAAACUAAUUCCUAACUAUCAGAAGUUGCAGGGAGAUAUGUAUAGAGCCAGAAGGUGGGGGAGGAAAGAAAGGGCUUGUAUGAGAACACUGCCUAUAGCCGUUGUCCAGCAGAGAAGUCUGGAUUCUAGAGAGGGAUAACAAACUCAUCUAAGACUUUUCAGCUACAGGAAGGAGGCAACUGAGCGACAUGUGGCAGAGGUGCCUGCAAAGGGCCUGAAAAAGACAAAGAGCAGUCGAUAAUUCACCACGUUUUUUAAUGCAACACCCAGAGUACAACAAAAUGAGGUAUUAGGAGUCAGCAUCACACCAAACAGGAGAUAGUUCCUCAUACAGUUUGUAGUCAAAACCACCAACCUCCUUGCAAAGCAAUGCCACAGAAACUAAAACACUAUGGGACCCAACAAGGAGGGUGAACAAGCUCAAGUGACACAAAUCCACAACAAUACGUAGAAAUUGCACCCUUCUCAUGAAUCUCCAAGCUAAACACUUUCUAGGCAUCUGCAACGUCAUACAUUGUCCUGGGCUAAAGUGACCUCGGGAUGUGUUUACCGGGAGCAGGCUCGCAGUAAGCAAUCAGGCUGGAGAGAGCAAAACUGAAAGGGUGCAGAUACUAUCAGAGCUGCUCUCCCUGCUCAAAGGCAGACUUCACAAAAGUUCAGUGUCUAAAGAGAGGCUCAAUUCAAGAAUAAACUGCUUAGAAAAAAGCAUGGAAACAGUGACCAAAAAAAAUAAAAUAAAAAAAAAAAGGAUGCCUUAGCACUACUGUCAAGCAGUUGCAGGUGAAAUUUGUUUCCAGACUGGUUGCCUUGUUGUACACUUGCACUUCGAGUUUUUCUCCCCUUAAAGAAAAUGUUUGGUUUGUUGUUUGGUUGAAGCUGUUAGGAAGCAGUCAGCUGUUAUACAGAAUUAAAUGCUUUUUAUUAUGCAAAGGCUGAUGCUGUCUGAGCUGUAACUGCAUGAAUGUGAACAGCAUGUUAAUUGAAAGUCUGUAUGAUUACACCUUACUAUUAAAGGUCACUCAGCAUUUUGUGUUUGCCAAGUCAGUGAUUUUUGAUGCGUGCUGUGUGGA